UGGCUCCAGCUGAAUCCAGUCCAGCCCCAUCCUGGCGUUCGGUGGCUUUCACAGACCAGGCUUUGGCCUCACGUCCCCUCUCUGGGCAUCUGGUCCCGAAUCGUCCCCGGAUGAUGAACACCGCGAAAUAUUCAGGACAGUUCGGCUGUUGAUAAUGUUUUGCAACCAAGGAGCAAGAUAUUAGCCAACUUGUGGGUGUGUACAGAGGUGUCAGAAAGAAACUUCCACUUGGGGACAGAAGAGCCAAAAAAAAAAAAAAAAGAAGAAGAAGAAGAAGGAGAAGAAAAAGAAAAAGAGUGCUCCCCUGACCAGUGAGGAGUGGAACGGGCAGCUUUCCCAGGUUCUGCUGGCCCAGGCUUGGGGCCUGAAGUGUAUGCCCUGCCUGCCCACUCAAGAGGUAAUUAAGAGCUGAUUGCUGGUAAUUAAGAGUUGCUGAGAGAGGCAGCAGGAUCCAAAAAGGAGACGCGCUCGUUUUGUCUUCCUGUGGACAGGCCCCUGACGCCCGCCCCUCCCCCUCCGCUGCCCCCUCCCGCGGGGAUGUGGGCCCUGGAGAGCAAGUCACAGCCCGUCUGCGGGAGGAUCUGCGUAUACGCUCUGCUCCGACUUCCUGCCGUCCUGUCAUUCCCGGGCCUUGAGUAAAGGCUUUGCCGAGCGGGUUGGAGCCCCAAUCUCCUGACGCUCAGCUGCGCAGAGAUGUAGCUUUCCCGUAGUUGUCCCGGACCGCAGUCUUAAUGGGCUCUUGAGCCCCCGUUGGAGCCGGUGGUGCACAACGUGAACUUGCCAAGUCAAGGAAGCAGCCAUUUCAGACUUAAGUCAUGGUCACUCCGAGGCCGCCGCUGUCCCCUCCGGACUUCCUCUUGCCCUCUCUGCCCUGGUGUGAGCCGCGGCCCUGGGUUUCGGGGGGUGGGCAGGAGGGAGCCCCAGGCCGUCCUGGCCCUGAGCGGCGGACGUGUGUCCACGUGCUGCCCUGUGUCCUGCCCCAGCCACCGGGCUCGCUGGCCUCGGAUGAGUUGCGCGUGUCCCUCGUGGACUAGAACACGAACCCCGACGCCCCAGGUGGCCACAGCCUCGGGGCCAGAGGCCCCGCAUGCUGCUGCCCCACAUGUUCCCGCUGGGACUCUUCGAUUGUGGCUUCUGGGUGCCGUGGGGGCUCGGGCGCUGUUGGCUGCUCUCUCCGCCGUGCUGGGGUGUGCAGGAGCCAGGCUGCUCUUGGGACCACCGCCGAGGCCCCUCAACCACGGCUACUUCACCUUCGUGGCUCCAUGCUAAGUGUGGACCUCUCUCGAGGACAUGACGUUUUCCCCUGCUGGCUGCACUGGAGCAGGUCCCCCUGCCCCCUCCCCUCCCUUCUCCAUUUUUUAAACUUCCCCGGGGUUUCUGGGCCUCCCCCUUCCCUUGUACCAUGCCUGUCCGGGCCCUCAGUUGGCAUGGAGCCCUUUUUUUCUCUCUCUUUUUCUUGCUUUCUUCCUUUCUUAGUUCAUUUAUUUGUUUUCAGAGAGACAGAGACAGUGCAAGU